AUUAUUCUUAUAAGCAUAAUAAGGGUAUAAAUCACAUAGCAGAAAAGGGCUAUGUUGUUCCAGAAACUCAACAAUAGGCUGAAUGGUGAGAAGAAAUUUAGGAUCAAAGGUACCUGCAGAUGGAGGGUAACUUUGUGAAAGCCAAUUUAGUUGAAAUGGGGUGGUCAAAUAGAUAGCACUCAAGUCAGGAUCAGCAUUAUAUAAUGCAUCUUUAAGGACUUGCAUUGCAGGAAGUAAGGCUUCCGCUAAUUUAUCGCCAGGGCUUAUACCAUGUCCAACAGCUAUCAUUGUAAAUCCUAGUAUCGUUUUAUAUGGCUUGACAUAGGUAUUGACCCAAUUUUGAGCAAAACCUUUUGCAAAGGCUACUUGUACAAUGUCUUCAUUUGCAACCCCCAGGAUCACUUCCAUCCCUGAAUGUUUUAAUGCCUCUAGAGCAUCUAUAUGUGGCUUAUAAAGGCGAAUCUUUUGGAAGCCUUUUUGUUGGCAAAGUUCUAUAGUUUCUUUUGCACUUGGCAGGUUGUUUGCAAGCCUUGAAU
rnacentral:misc_RNA from 1 species